GAAAGAGGCUGAGAAGCAUUGUUUGACCAAUGGCAGAAAGUUUCUGGAGCCAAAAAAGAAAUGUUACAGGGGCUUCCACAAGACACUCAAGGCCUUGUGUAAAAACAAUGGGUAUUUCAGGUGUGGUAAUGGAGAUGUUGUUGACCUGAACUAUACACUCGCAGAGCCCAUGUAUGCAAAUAUGAAUGACGUAUUUCUGCAAACCUUCAGCCCCGGAAGUUCAAGACAAUCAAUCUAUGGGAAGCUUGGAAGUUUCCAGGAAUCAUUUAUCGCACCUUGGGAUCUGGAUGCAUGUAAAAAGGAGCCAGAAAAAUACCUGCGUAAGGUGUACAUUAAGACAAAGCAAAGAAAAUUGCUUAGCAGUAUGGAAAAGGAGAUCGUUCAAAGAAAGAAGUCCAUCCAUGAUUCCCUCAGCAAAUCUGUCGAAGCAACUAUGAUGACAGCUUAUAGAGGUGAGCUCCUCUGUGCUCCUUUUGUACAUGUUCCUCCCUUUUUGUACAUUUUGGACUGUGGGAGGAAACUGGACAACCUGCAGAUAACCCAUGUAACAGAUAGACAAAGCUGGAUUCAUACCUAUAGCUCCCAGAAAACGUGUUUUUAAUUGUGUGUCAUUGUUGCUAUAAAUAAUAUUUUCCAGAUUUUUCUGGGAAUGGGACAUACACUCUGGCAAAUAUUCAGGACACACUGAAGGAAAAAAUUCUGUCUUCCAAAAAUACCAUUUUUCAGCAAGCUAUGAAAGAGAUGCUGAGACAGUUUGAAGACCUCAAGAUGUGGACUGUGAAAGAACUUGAGACACAGAUGACGGCACACAUGAGGGUGGCUCUCGGGCAGAUCCCAGACGACUUCAUCAACCUACCUGAUGUUGAUGAAGAAUUACAGAAUAUGAAAAGUUGGUGUGAAGUAUUAGACCUUAGGAUUUUUAUGUGAAAGGACCUCCUGGACAGAAGAACCAUUCUUGUCAAACAUUUACAUCAGGAGUACAGCUACAAGAAAAAGCGCACUUGAAAAGUAAUGGAAGACUGCAAACAUAAUUAUUUGAUGGUUUAUUUGGUGUUUAAUGUGUAAAAAAAAAUUGAACACACUUUU